rnacentral:rRNA from 1 species
UACAGAGGUCCCAAGCGUUGUUCGGAUUUACUGGGCGUAAAGGGUGCGUAGGCGGCUACUAAAGUUUGAUGUGAAAUCUUGGAGCUCAACUCCGAAACUGCAUUGAAUACUGAGUAGCUUGAGGAGUGGAGGGGAGACUGGAAUUCUCGGUGUAGCAGUGAAAUGCGUAGAUAUCGAGAGGAACACCAGUGGCGAAGGCGAGUCUCUGGACAUUUCCUGACGCUGAGGCACGAAAGCCAAGGGAGCAAACGGG